rnacentral:rRNA from 1 species
UGAAUACGAGAUGCUACGGCAUCGAAGCAGUCUAUGUCAUACUUCCAAGAAAAGCUUGCACUGUCAUAAACAAAUAAUGCCUGUACCAUAACCGACACAGGUGGGUAGGUAGAGUAUACUAAGGGGCGCGAGAUAACUCUCUCUAAGGAACUCGGCAAAAUGACUCCGUAACUUCGGGAGAAGGAGUGCCUUAUUUUAUAAGGUUGCAAUAACAAGAUCCAAGCAACUGUUUACCAAAAACACAGGUCUCCGCUAAGUCGUAAGACGAUGUAUGGGGGCUGACGCCUGCCCAGUGCCAGAAGGUUAAAGAAGUUGGUUAGCAUUAGCGAAGCUGAUAACUGAAGCCCUGGUGAACGGCGGCCGUAACAAUAACGGUCCUAAGGUAGCGAAAUUCCUUGUCGGGUAAGUUCCGACCCGCACGAAAGGCGUAAUGAUUUGGAUACUGUCUCGGAGAGGGGCUCGGUGAAAUAGACUUGUCUGUGAAGAUGCGGACUACCUGCACCAGGACAGAAAGACCCUAUGAAGCUUUACUGUAACUUGAGAUUGAAAUUGGACUUUAUUUGCGCAGUAUAGGUGGGAGACGUUGAAAAUAUUCUUGCGGGAAUAUUGGAGUCAUCAGUGAGAUACCACUCUUAUAAUGUUAGAUUUCUAACUUUGUAUCAUUAUCUGGUCAAAGAACAGUCUCAGGCGGGCAGUUUGACUGGGGCGGUCGCCUCCCAAACGGUAACGGAGGCGCACAAAGGUUUCCUCUGAACGUGUAGAAAUCGUAUCUAGAGUGUAAAGGCAUAAGGAAGCUUGACUGUGAGACCUACAAGUCGAGCAGGGACGAAAGUCGGUCUUAGUGAUCUGACGGUGCUGAGUGGAAAGGCCGUCACUCAACGGAUAAAAGUUACUCUAGGAUAACAGGCUGAUCUCCCCCAAGAGUUCACAUCGACGGGGAGGUUUGGCACCUCGAUGUCGGCUCAUCGCAUCCUGGGGCGGUAGUACGUCCCAAGGGUUGGGCUGUUCACCCAUGAAAGCGGUACGCGAGCUGGGUUCAGAACGUCGUGAGACAGUUCGGUCCAUAUCCGGUGUAGGCGUUAGAAUAUUGAGAGGAGCCUUCUUUAGUACGAGAGGACCGAGAAGGACAUACCUCUGGUGUACCAGUUAUCGUGCCAACGGUAAACGCUGGGUAGCUAUGUAUGGAGAGGAUAACCGCUGAAAGCAUCUAAGUGGGAAGCCCACCUCAAGAUAAG